GGACUACUCGGGUUUCUAAUCCCUUUCGCUCCCCUAGCUGUCGUUCCUCAGUGUCAUAUAUUGGCUAGUAUCCUGCCUUCGCCCUUGGAGUUCCUGAUGAUAUCAACGUAUUUCACUACUACACCAUCAGUUCCAGAUACCCCGCCAAAAAUCAAGACUUACAGUAUUAUCUCCCUUCCCGAGGUUGAGCCUCGGUAUUUGAAAAAUAACUUAUAAACCCACCUACGAAACGCUUUACGCCCAAUAAAUCCGGAUAACGCUUGUGACCUCUGUAUUACCGCGGCGGCUGGCAC
rnacentral:rRNA from 1 species